GCGCCUACUACGUGCCAGGAGUCCUUCAUUCAUUCAUUCUUACAACAGUCCUAGGUUUAGCUAUCACCUCAGUUUUCCCAUAUGAUGCGUUUAGAAACUGGGAGCACUGAAGCUAAGGAACAUGCUCAAGGUCACCCAGGUGGCUGGAGAUGGAACCAGGAUUAGGCUCCAGAGCCAGCAUCCCUAACCACUAAACGAGACAGCCUUGACUCCCACGUCCCCGACCUUGCCGGCUGCGGGCUCGCGGCUGCGGCGGAGCUCCCGGCGCCCGCGGGCCCUGGGCGGGCGCGCGCACAGCGCCAGGCUCGCCCCUGCGCGGGUCCCAGGAGAUUGGCCUGAGAAGAGAGGAGCAGACAUUUCAAGGGAAUUAAGGUAAGAUAAAGAAGAGAAUGUAUUAAAGCCCCAAGUAGCAAUCAAAAGGAGAAAAGACAAAAGAGUGUUUCUUCUCUUUUUGGUGGUAACAUCUCAGGGAUAUAUUUUACCACUAGCUAUAACUAAUAUAAUUAAAGAGAUAUUCCUACUAGUUACACAAUCUGAGAUCAAUUUGUACAUAAAGUGAGUCUGUAUUGUACAGCAGAACCAACACUAGGACAUCU
rnacentral:lncRNA from 1 species